CUUACUCGAACCGUCCUGACCGCGUAGCUCAGUUGGAAGAGCAUUGGGCUAGUAUUCCAAAGGUCGUAGGUUCGAAUCCCACCGUGGCCGGGCAUAUUUUUCAAGCUCGCCCGGUGUGGAUACGCACUCAGAGUAACAUCGCAAACAUAUUAUUCACCUGAGUACACAACACCAGCACAGAAAAAAAUCAUAUUACAAGAACACAUUGGUAUUGAAGGAACUAGAUACUGUUCCGAAAUAUCACUUACUCGAACCGUCCUGACCGCGUAGCUCAGUUGGAAGAGCAUUGGGCUAGUAUUCCAAAGGUCGUAGGUUCGAAUCCCACCGUGGCCGGGCAUAUUUUUUAAGCUCGCCCGGUGUGGAUAUGCACUCAGAGUAACAUCACAAACAUAUUAUUCACCUGAGUACACAACACCAGCACAGAAAAAAAUAUUCAUAUUACAAGAAUACCUUGGUAUUGAAGGAACUAGAUACUGUUCCGAAAUAUCACUUACUCGAACCGUCCUGACCGCGUAGCUCAGUUGGAAGAGCAUUGGGCUAGUAUUCCAAAGGUCGUAGGUUCGAAUCCCACCGUGGCCGGGCAUAUUUUUCAAGCUCGCCCGGUGUGGAUAUGCACUCAGAGUAACAUCACAAACAUAUUAUUCACCUGAGUACACAACACCAGCACAGAAAAAAUUCAUAUUACAAGAACACAUUGGUAUUGAAGGAACUAGAUACUGUUCCGAAAUAUCACUUACUCGAACCGUCCUGACCGCGUAGCUCAGUUGGAAGAGCAUUGGGCUAGUAUUCCAAAGGUCGUAGGUUCGAAUCCCACCGUGGCCGGGCAUAUUUUUCAAGCUCGCCCGGUGUGGAUAUGCACUCAGAGUAACAUCACAAACAUAUUAUUCACCUGAGUACACAACACCAGCACAGAAAAAAAUAUUCAUGUUACAAGAACACCUUGGUAUUGAAGGAACUAGAUACUGUUCCGAAAUAUCACUUACUCGAACCGUCCUGACCGCGUAGCUCAGUUGGAAGAGCAUUGGGCUAGUAUUCCAAAGGUCGUAGGUUCGAAUCCCACCGUGGCCGGGCAUAUUUUUCAAGCGCGCCCGGUGUGGAUAUGCACUCAGAGUAACAUCACAAACAUAUUAUUCACCUGAGUACACAACACCAGCACAG